rnacentral:rRNA from 1 species
AUUGAACGCUGGCGGCAGGCCUAACACAUGCAAGUCGAACGAGUGGCGGACGGGUGAGUAAUGUCUGGGAAACUGCCUGAUGGAGGGGGAUAACUACGGGAAACGGUAGCUAAUACCGCAUACCAUCAGAUGUGCCCAGAGGGGAUUAGCUAGUUGGUGGGGUAACGGGUCACCAAGGCGACGAUCCCUAGCUGGUCUGAGAGGAUGACCAGCCACACGGGGACUGAGACACGGCCCAGACUCCUACGGGAGGCAGCAGUGGGGAAUAUUGCGCAAUGGGCGCAAGCCUGAAGCAGCCAUGCCGCGUGAAUGAAGAAGGCCUUCGGGUUGUAAAGUUCUUUCGGCAGGGAGGCGUUACCUACAGAAGAAGCACCGGCUAACUCCGUGCCAGCAGCCGCGGUAAUAC